GUUGAAUCGAGCUUUCUAUGAAGACCCAUAGUCUAAGAAUCGAUGCAUCACUUCAAUGGAUUGGUCAACACAUUUUCCUGAACUGGUUGUUGCUUCAUAUCACAAAAAUGAGGAGAGUCCCAAUGAACCAGAUGGUGUUGUGGUGUUGUAAUGGUCUGGAACACAAAAUAUAAAAAACAAGCACCCGAAGAUGUAUUCCAUUGUCAGAGUGCCGUUAUGUCAACAUGCUUUACUAAAUUCAAUUCAAUGAAAUCUUAUACUCGGUGGAACGUAUUCCGGUCAGAUUGUGCUUUGGGAUAAUCGAGUGCAAAAGCGCACCCCCAUCCAGAGGACACCACAAGAUACGAACCCAGUGUACUGUUUGCAAAUGGUUGGCACACACAAUGUGAUAUCGAUCUCAUCCGAUGGCAAGCUUUGCUCUUGGAGUUUGGAUAUGUUGUCGAUGCCGCAAGAUACACUGGAAUUGCAGCAACGGCAAUCGAAGCCAAUUGCUAUCACUUGCAUGUUCUUUUCAUCGAAUGAGAUUAACAAUCUAGCAAUGGCAAUGUUUAUUCUGCUUAUCGACAUGGAAUACGUUCGGGUGUGUCUGAAGUCUAUGAGAAGCAUUUUGCGUCCAGUGACGGGAAUAUCAACUCAUC